rnacentral:rRNA from 1 species
GAUGAACGCUGGCGGCGUGCCUAAUACAUGCAAGUCGAGCGAACGGACGAGAAGCUUGCUUUUCUGAUGUUAGCGGCGGACGGGUGAGUAACACGUGGAUAACCUACCUAUAAGACUGGGAUAACUUCGGGAAACCGGAGCUAUUACCGGAUAAUAUUUUGAACCGCAUGGUUCAAAAGUGAAAGACGGUCUUGCUGUCACUUAUAGAUGGAUCCGCGCUGCAUUAGCUAGUUGGUAAGGUAACGGCUUACCAAGGCAACGAUGCAUAGCCGACCUGAGAGGGUGAUCGGCCACACUGGAACUGAGACACGGUCCAGACUCCUACGGGAGGCAGCAGUAGGGAAUCUUCCGCAAUGGGCGAAAGCCUGACGGAGCAACGCCGCGUGAGUGAUGAAGGUCUUCGGAUCGUAAAACUCUGUUAUUAGGGAAGAACAUAUGUGUAAGUAACUGUGCACAUCUUGACGGUACCUAAUCAGAAAGCCACGGCUAACUACGUG